UUCAGGUACGUGAAUUCUCAUGGACAAGAGGCUGGCUAAGGCCACAGAGAAGAGAGCUGUAUGGCUGUACUUGUGCUGAACUUGGGCCAAAGACGUAUGUUCGCUGUGGACCAGAGGUGAGCAUGUGAGAGAGAGAAACAGAGAGAGAGAGAGAGAGCCCUGGGGGAUUAUCAUAGACCCUUCUGCCUGACUCAUAGGCAUGACAGGUGGGAAAUAUCCCCAGUUUUGGGGGGACAGGAGAGAGGUUCGGAGAAAGAGUUGGCUUCACAUGUAAGCUGUGGCCAAUGGCAGUUUACUCUGCCCCCCUCCCUGAUUCUAACCUUGGGGAGGUCAAAGGUACAGCCGGUCAAGCGAGGGAAAGAGGGAAAGAGAAGAAGCCAUCUGCACGGUUCCAGGGCCUGCCAGAAGGAGACGCAAACUGAUAGAGAGGGACCUUUAUGUUAAAUGGACAUUUGACUAUGAUGUGGGUUGGAUGUUGGGAAUGUAUAAUCUGAAAGAAGCAGGAAGUCAUAGAUUCUGCCUGAGAUUUCGUCUGGGGGCAGGGAAAGAGCUAGCCCCUCCAGAGGGUGGGACCAUUCUUUUAGGGUAAGGAGGCAUUGUAUUCUCAUUGUGCCUAGUGAGUUCCCCUCUUUCCAGUACUGACUGUAUGCACACACAAUGAUGAACUCAGCCAGAGUAACAUGCAUGUCUCUUGUUCCCUUAGUGCACAAGAGAACAUGAGUGUAAAGACUCAUCGGACACCUGCUAUGUGCGGGACUCAGCUGAAUCCAUGAACUCCAUGACAGCAGGUUUUGAGAAUUUGACAAAGGGAGAAUCACAUAGGAGUGGAGUAGAAAAGAGGAAAGGCUUCCUGGAAGAGAGAGGAUGGGGGUGGGUCCUGCAGAAGCCAUCAGCCCUGGAUGGGCAACCAAUGGCCUGUGAGGCUCUCCUGACAGUGACCAGUGUUCUGGCACAACUUGGGGGAAGAGUGCUCCAAUUUUGUGACAGCACAGAGUGUGCCAAAGGUCACAUGAGUACGAGUCCAUUAAAUGAACUAGAAUACAGUAGACAAGCUAUAGGGACAGAAGGUAGAUCAGUGUUUGCCUAGGGUUGAAGAAGUGCUAAUGAGUGCAGGGGUUCUUUCUGGGAUGAUAACAUUUUUUAAAAUUUGAUUGAGAUGUCAGUUACCUUACAUACACCAAAUAUAUCGAAACCAUUGAAUUAGACACUUGAAAUGGAUGAAUUGCUUGGUAUGUGAAUGCUAUCUCAAAAAGGCUGUUAAAAAAAGAAUCUAGUCACAGCACAAUAAAUAUAGAUGAUACAAUCUGUAGAGAAUUCAGAAUCUGGCAACACUAGACAACAUGUCAUUUAAGAAUAGGUGGCAAAACUAUAAAGAAAUCAAGGGAAUAUAGUCAAUAAUAUUGUAAUAACUUUGUACGGUGACAGAUGAUUACUAGACUUUUUGUGGGGAUACCGUAGGAUAUUGAAUGUCACUUGUAUGUCAGUAAUAAAAAAAGAAAUGAAAAGAAUGAUCCUGCAAAUGUCAGGAGAGUAUUUGUUCUUGGAGGCAGGAGGGCAACAGGUAAAUGGGGGAGCACAGAAGUCAGUGGCCAUCUAACAAACUCGACACAACUGAGUCUUACUGCAACUGGUGUUUUUGCAGGCACGAUCUUUUUAAAAAUAAUUGUAUGUCUCUUAGGAACAAUCUUUUGAAUGUAUGACAUGUCUUAAAAUAAAUAAAUAGAAAAUGAGAGGAGGAGGAGGAGACCAAACGAGAGACAGGACCAAAAGUUACCUGGCAUUCAUGGUGCAGAGUCCAGAGCACCAGCUUCUUGCUCCCCUGGGAACCUUAUCUGGCAUAGCUUGUGAGAGGAGCAGAAAUGAAGAUCCCCAGGAGGAAAAGUCUCCUAAGGCUAGAAGCUGAAGGAAGAGCAGGCUCAUCCAGUUCCAGCUUCUGGUGUAUGUAUGUGAAGAGAUGAUGCCUGGAACUAUGGCAGCCUUUUUGGGACCAUUAGAGGAGCCCACACAAAGGAUAUGCCAGUAUAUACCCUGGAGACCUGACUGGUCUGGGAUCCCACAGGAGCAGGGUUGUCUUCUG